CGGCAGAAGAUAUCAAUCACCUUACCAUGCGUAGAGCAGAUGUUCUCCUGGAGGUUCUUGGACGGCUCCACCAGCCUGUGUUUCUUUAAAGGAGCCACAUCAUAAUGAGGCUGAAGGUGUUUCUCACAAUAAGAAUCCAGA